rnacentral:rRNA from 1 species
GACGAACGCUGGCGGCGUGCCUAAUACAUGCAAGUAGAACGCACAGUUUAUACCGUAGCUUGCUACACCAUAAACUGUGAGUUGCGAACGGGUGAGUAACGCGUAGGUAACCUGCCUGGUAGCGGGGGAUAACUAUUGGAAACGAUAGCUAAUACCGCAUAAUAUUGAUUAUUGCAUGAUAAUUGAUUGAAAGAUGCUAUUGCAUCACUACCAGAUGGACCUGCGUUGUAUUAGCUAGUAGGUGAGGUAACGGCUCACCUAGGCGACGAUACAUAGCCGACCUGAGAGGGUGAUCGGCCACCCUGGGACUGGGACACGGCCCAGACUCCUACGGGAGGCAGCAGUAGGGAAUCUUCGGCAAUGGACGAAAGUCUGACCGAGCAACGCCGCGUGAGUGAAGAAGGUUUUCGGAUCGUAAAGCUCGGUUGUAAGAGAAGAACGGGUGUGAGAGUGGAAAGUUCACACUGUGACGGUAUCUUACCAGAAAGGGACGGCUAACUACGUG